UUCUUUUUCCAGUUCAUAAGCCUAACAAUUGGGUAUUCACACACUUGUGUGAUGUGUACCUUCCUUAAAUCUUGUUAUGCAAUUGGCACAUUACCCAUCUGAUG